GUCCUAGCUGUAAACGAUGUUCACUAGAUGUGGGAGGUAUCGACCCCUUCCGCGUCGACGCUAACGCAUUAAGUGAACCGCCUGGGGAGUACGGCCGCAAGGUUGAAACUCAAAGGAAUUUACGGGGGCCCGCACAAGCGGUGGAGUAUGUGGUUUAAUUCGACGCAACGCGAAAAACCUUACCUGGGCUUGAACUGCUGAUGGUAAAAACCGGAAACGGUAAUGACCCGCAAGGGAGUUAGCAGAGGUGCUGCAUGGCUGUCGU
rnacentral:rRNA from 1 species